rnacentral:rRNA from 1 species
AUUGAACGCUGGCGGCAGGCUUAACACAUGCAAGUCGAGCGGGGGAAGGUAGCUUGCUACCGGACCUAGCGACGGACGGGUGAGUAAUGCUUAGGAAUCUGCCUAUUAGUGGGGGACAACAUCUCGAAAGGGAUGCUAAUACCGCAUACGUCCUACGGGAGAAAGCAAGGGAUCUUCGGACCUUGCGCUAAUAGAUGAGCCUAAGUCGGAUUAGCUAGCUGGGGGGGUAAAGGCCUACCAAGGCGACGAGCUGUAGCGGGUCUGAGAGGAUGAUCGGGCACACUGGGACGGAGACACGGCCCAGACUCCUACGGGAGGCAGCAGUGGGGAAUAUUGGACAAUGGGGGGAACCCUGAUCCAGCCAUGCCGCGUGUGUGAAGAAGGCCUUAUGGUUGUAAAGCACUUUAAGCGAGGAGGAGGCUACUUUAGUUAAUACCUAGAGAUAGUGGACGUUACUCGCAGAAUAAGCACCGGCUAACUCUGUGCCAGCCGCCGCGGUAA